rnacentral:rRNA from 1 species
GACGAACGCUGGCGGCGUGCUUAACACAUGCAAGUCGAACGGAAAGGCCCUGCUUUUGUGGGGUUCUCGAGUGGCGAACGGGGGUGUAAAACGCGAGUAAACUGCCCUUGACUUUCGGAUAACUUCUGGGAACUGGGGCUAAUACCGGAUAGGAGCUCCUGCAGCAUGGGGGGGGUUGGAAAGUUUCGGCGGUUGGGGAUGGAAUGGCGGCUUAUCAGCUUGUUGGUGGGGUUGUGGCUUACCAAGGCUUUGACGGGUAGCCGGCCUGAGAGGGUGACCGGCCACAUUGGGACUGAGAUACGGCCCAGACUCCUACGGGAGGCAGCAGUGGGGAAUAUUGCACAAUGGGCCGAAGCCUGAUGCAGCAACGCCGCGUGCGGGAUGACGGCCUUCGGGUUGUAAACCGCUUUCGCCUGUGACGAAGCGUGAGUGACGGUAAUGGGUAAAGAAGCACCGGCUAACUACGUG